CUACGGGAGGCAGCAGUGAGGAAUAUUGGACAAUGGACGAAAGUCUGAUCCAGCCAUGCCGCGUGAAGGAUGACGGCCCUACGGGUUGUAAACUUCUUUUAUGUAGGAAGAAACCCCUUCUCGUGAGAAGGGCUGACGGUACUACACGAAUAAGGACCGGCUAACUCCGUGCCAGCAGCCGCGGUAAUACGGAGGGUCCAAGCGUUAUCCGGAUUCAUUGGGUUUAAAGGGUGCGUAGGCGGGGAGCUAAGUCAGUGGUGAAAGCCCACAGCUCAACUGUGGAACUGCCAUUGAUACUGGUUUUCUUGAAUGCGAUUGAAGUGGGCGGAAUAUGACAUGUAGCGGUGAAAUGCUUAGAUAUGUCAUAGAACACCGAUAGCGAAGGCAGCUCACUAAGUCGUUAUUGACGCUGAGGCACGAAAGCGUGGGGAGCGAACAGGAUUAGAUACCCGAGUAGUC
rnacentral:rRNA from 1 species